UUUUUUUUAGGGGGACUUGGGGAAGGAUCAUUG
rnacentral:rRNA from 1 species